UACGGUCGCAAGAUUAAAACUCAAAGGAAUUGACGGGGGCCCGCACAAGCGGCGGAGCAUGCGGAUUAAUUCGAUGCAACGCGAAGAACCUUACCAAGACUUGACAUAUAGUAGAAAAGCGUAGAAAUACGCUCCCCGCAAGGCUGCUAUACAGGUGGUGCAUGGUUGUCGUCAGCUCGUGUCGUGAGAUGUUGGGUUAAGUCCCGCAACGAGCGCAACCCUCGUCUUAUGUUGCCAGCACGUAAUGGUGGGAACUCAUGGGAGACUGCCGGGGUCAACUCGGAGGAAGGUGGGGAUGACGUCAAAUCAUCAUGCCCCUUAUGUCUUGGGCUUCACGCAUGCUACAAUGGCCGAUACAAAGGGCUGCGAUACCGCAAGGUGGAGCGAAUCCCAUAAAGUCGGUCUCAGUUCGGAUUGGGGUCUGCAACUCGACCCCAUGAAGUCGGAGUCGCUAGUAAUCGUAGAUCAGCAACGCUACGGUGAAUACGUUCCCGGGCCUUGUACACACCGCCCGUCAAGUCACGAAAGUCGGUAACACCCGAAGCCGGUGGCCUAACCGUAAGGAAGGAGCCGUCGAAGGUGGGAUCGGUGAUUGGGACU
rnacentral:rRNA from 1 species